GGGGCGGGGCGCGGCGCGGCGCGGCGGGCUGCGGCGAAGGGGCGGUGGCGAAGUCGGGUAAAGUUCAGCGCAGAGAAUGCGGGGCGCGGCUGCCGGGGGGGUGCUUGCCCCGCCCGGCCCCGCCCGCGGGCUCCCGGUUGGGGGGGUCGCGCCUGUGGGGGGCUGCGGGGCUGCGUCACCGCCAAAACGUGCCCGGGGCGGUGCCCGCAGCCCCCCCCGCCUGGGGGCGCCCGCUCGUGAGUCAGCGCUGCCGGCCGCCGGGGUGCUUUAGUUACUGAUAUUGUGGGGUUUGGGGUUUUGGGGUUUUUUUUCCUUUACAAGGGUCCAGAAGCCGGAGGUUUCGGCCCAGGAGAGGAAGCCGCGGGGCGGGGAGCGGCCGCGCUGCGGGCUUUGCCGCGGAGCGGGGCGGGCGGCCUGCGCCCUCCCGGGGGGCUCUUUGGGAACCGCAGCAGAGACUAACCGAGACGGGGUGCCAAAAAAAAAAAAAACUUGCCUAAAAACAAAAAAUAAGUGUGCUGGGCACUCCGCUGCCUGGGCGGGGAGGAGACGUCUGCAGAGAAGAAAUUAGUUCAUGGAAACAUUCAGAGUAAGGAAAGUGCAAAUUCAUUGAGAUGUGACUUCAGAAAAAGGAGCAACAAACCUCUCAUCACUGUGGACCCCCUUCUGCCGUGAUGCAGUGCAUGCAAAGGUACCUGUGCAUGUGAGUCGUCCCGUUAAGCAAAACGGAUCUUUUCCCAUGACUUCCUACUUGGCAUGAGGAAAGCCUCGGGAGGGGUCCCGACGGGCAUAUCUCGGUGCAUUGAUGUGGCGGCAGCAGCUACAUUUCAGAGGAAAGAUUCAGAGAAGCCUUCGGCCACUUUCUGGAAAACCGGACAGGCCGGCAACAUGUGAAGGAGGGAGUCCAUGGGGUCACGGCAUUCACUCCUCUUCUGCCUCAGAAAUCCAUUUCAUAUACUUCUCUUCAUAAACUUUUCAAACCCCAAAUAUUUGAGGGCAGGGUAGGCUUUCCCUGCUAUUUGUAUAGGAAGGAUAUUUGGAAAUCUCAGUUUCUAAACAACCAGAAACCUCCUUCUAACUUCUAGUCUAAAUUUCUUCACGUACUUCCACUGCUCACUAACAUUGUCCUGUAAUUUAAAUUGUUCCUUUUCCCUGAUUUUUUAAUCUCUAUUCUGUUUGAAAGAACACAUUUCUUCCAUCCCUUGCUUUCCUAAACUCAACUGGACAAGCUCCUCUGUCCUCCCGGUCAGGACAGGUCUCCCUGCCCUUGCUCUCCAUAGCUGCCUUCCUCUGCGCCGAUUCAGGCCCAGUGCAGGGCGCAGUAAAUUCCAGAUGAGAUUUCAUCAAGGAUAAAAUACACAAAGACAUCAGUAUUCCUUAUGUCAAUCAGAAAUGACUAAAGGAAAUUUGCAAAGUGAAAAGUAAUUUUUAAAUACAAUGAAGGCAACACUGAUAUUCCUUUAGAGAUACAAAGUUUCACAACAUGUGACUAAGAAGGUAACAACUUGUAAGGUCUUUAGACUUCAUUCUUUUUCCCUAGGAUUUUUUAUUUUCUAUUGACAGUUUAUCCAUAUACAUUUCAAGUCAGCCCUUUUACAGUGAUAUAAUAAUAAAGCACGUUGGCAUCAGGAUAGAUGGAUAAAGGCAGUAGGAUAGAUGGAUUAAAAUAAAUAUAUUGCUAAAUAUAAAACACAAGUCAGUUUUUCCAUACAGUAAAUGGCUAAAUUCUAUACCUACUUUUAUUGUUAUAGCUCUGUUACAGUCAAUGGACUGCAUAUACACAAAUAAAGACAGAACUGGUGUGGCAGCUUAAAUCAUCCCUACUGAAAAGUAUAUUACACUAUGUAGGACAGAGUAUAAACCAAUAUUUAGCUCAGCAAGCUCAGAUUUGAACCUUGAACUUCACUUAGAAUUAUGUCAGUUAUCCCUGAAUGGUAUUUUUGACAUGGAGGAUCAUAUGGAGGAUUACAGCCCAAAAUCCCUGCUGUAGCUCCAGGACUGUAACUCAUGUAAUUCCACUUCACGGUACCAACAGUGAAUUUGGACCAUGGCUUAAACU